UCGGGGGGUAGCAAUAUCAAUCGAUCGGAGUGGCGCAAGGGUGCGUAACACGUGGGUAAUUUGCCGUGAAGUCUGGAAUAACUUGCUGAAAGGCAAGCUAAUGCCGGAUGAGAUCGCCGACGAGCAUUCGUUGGCGAUGAAAGUUGGGGUCGCAAGACCUGACGUUUCACGAUAAGCCCGCGGCCUAUCAGCUAGUUGGCGAGGUAAAGGCUCACCAAGGCUAAGACGGGUAGCUGGUCUGAGAGGACGACCAGUCACACUGGAACUGAGACACGGUCCAGACACCUACGGGUGGCAGCAGUCGAGAAUUUUUCACAAUGGGCGAAAGCCUGAUGGAGCGACGCCGCGUGGGGGAUGAAUGGCUUCGGCCCGUAAACCCCUGUCAUUUGCGAACAAUGCGUCCCCGUGAACAACGGGAGGCGUUGAUAGUAGCAGAAGAGGAAGAGACGGCUAACUCUGUGCCAGCAGCCGCGGUAAUACAGAGGUCUCAAGCGUUGUUCGGAUUUACUGGGCGUAAAGGGUGUGUAGGCGGUUGGGUAAGUCUGAAGUGAAAUCUCUAAGCUCAACUUAGAAAAUGCUUCGGAUACUAUCUGGCUAGAGGGUCGGAGAGGAGAUCGGAAUUCUCGGUGUAGCAGUGAGAUGCGUAGAUAUCGAGAGGAACAUCAGUGGCGAAGGCGGAUCUCUGGACGAAUCCUGACGCUGAGGCACGAAAGCCAGGUAGCAAACGGGAUUAGAUACCCCGGUAGUCCUGGCUGUAAACGGUGCGCACUUGCUGUGAGCGGAUUCAAACCCGCUCGUGCGUAGCUAACGCGAUAGUGCGCCGCCUGGGAAGUACG
rnacentral:rRNA from 1 species